AGCGAACGCUGGCGGCAUGCCUAACACAUGCAAGUCUGACGGGCGGGCUUUCGGGCCUUGUCAGUGGCGGACGGGUGAGGAGCGCGUAGGAACGUAUCCAAGGGUGGGGACAACCGCGGGAAACUGCGGCUAAUACCGCAUGGGGCCUCUAGGGAGACCUGAAAGGGGAGACCUGGGGGCCAAAGGCUGGGGCAACCUAGUCGCCGGUGGAGCGGCCUGCGUCCGAUUAGCUAGUUGGUGGGGUGAUGGCUUACCAAGGCAGCGAUCGGUAGCUGGUCUGAGAGGAUGAUCAGCCACACUGGGACUGAGACACGGCCCAGACUCCUAC
rnacentral:rRNA from 1 species